rnacentral:lncRNA from 1 species
CAUGGCACCUUUCAGAAAAGGGUCAUGUAGCCCAUAUAAGUUAGUAAAUAUCCUGUCCUCAUCCUUAAGGCCACCAAAAUGGGUUUUUUCUGGUGGUGGAGGAGGCGGUGGCGGCUGUGGUGAAGCAGGUGGCGGUGGCGGCUGUGGUGAAGUAGGAGUAGAAGCACCCUGAGUGCUAAAUUGUCUUAAACCAAGACCCAAUUUCUCACUACGAUGUUGAACCAAGGCUGACCUUAGUGAAAGAAUUCCCCUCAUGAUUGCCUUAC